rnacentral:misc_RNA from 1 species
GGAGAAUCUAUAGGGCUUAGAUGCCACUUCACAAAAAAAUAAAAUAAACACCUGGCAAUAUUGUGCUAACCAAAUUUUGACUGCCAGAACCAGAAUGGCACAGAAAAACCACUUGGUUGAAUUGGGACAUAGUGCAAAAAUGUGGGAGAAAAACAAUAAAUGCAAUGGACCAAUAAUCAUACAAAGAAAAUUCAAACUUAUAUUCUGGGCUUGGGCAAUAAUGUAGAAGAUAGCUAUCAAAAAGGUUCAAAUUAACCAAAUAAAAUUUAAGAUUAAUUUCAUUUUUGUUUUUAAUUUUCUUGAUCGGCUUUUUCUGUUUAUUAUUUAGUUAGAACCUAAUUUAAUUUGAUUUAGUGAUUAAAAAUAUAUCACUUAAAAAAAAAUUCCGUGUUUAUAGAGUUCAUUCUGCACUAAUUAUAGGAAAAUUUUCUACUUCUCUACUUUGAGAUUUUCUUUUUGCCUACCCUUUU